UACGGAGGGUGCGAGCGUUAAUCGGAAUAACUGGGUGUAAAGGGCACGCAGGCGGGGUUUUAAGUGAGGUGUGAAAUCCACGGGCUUAACCUGGGAAUAGCAUUUCAGACUGGGAGUCUAGAGUACUUUAGGGAGGGGUAGAAUUCCACGUGUAGCGGUGAAAUGCGUAGAGAUGUGGAGGAAUACCGAAGGCGAAGGCAGCCCCUGGGAAAUGUACUGACGCUCAUGUGCGAAAGCGUGGGGAUCAAACAGG
rnacentral:rRNA from 1 species